AGGGAUGAGGUGGAAGGUGGGGUGGGUAGGAGGGGCACUUAUGGAGGGAAUGAGCCUCUGGAAGGAACAGUGGCCACAGGGGGGACCUUCCUGCUUCCCCAGGUGUGGAACACCUCCCUGGAGCUCCUGCCAUUGUGGCUGGUGAGCGGUUCCUAUGCCUACUCCUUCGAGGCCGCGUGCCCACUGGCCGUGCCAAGAGGUCAGAGAAUCCCCAGGGACACAAGCUUUCUACAGGGUGGACCUGAGCCUGGACUUCGCAGAGAUGGACUCUCCAGUGCACUGGACCGUAGAGAACUUUUCCCAGUGUGCGGGAUCAAGAGAAGAGUCACUGGUCCUAACAACCACACCGACUGCUCUUCCGGCCCUGUCCCCUGGAUGGGGAACUACACCGGUAGAAACACCAUCUGCCACCUCUUCCCAGCUCCAGACCCCACCAAUGGCUGCCCCGGAGGAGCUCCCUCAACAUUUUGUGCACCAGCCUACUAAAGAAUCCACCAAGGCAAAUCC
rnacentral:lncRNA from 1 species